AUUGAACGCUGGCGGCAUGCUUUACACAUGCAAGUCGAACGGUAACGCGGGGGCAACCCUGGCGACGAGUGGCGAACGGGUGAGUAAUACAUCGGAACGUGUCCUGGAGUGGGGGAUAGCUCGGCGAAAGCCGGAUUAAUACCGCAUACGCUCUGAGGAGGAAAGCGGGGGACCUUCGGGCCCCGCGAUGCGGGAGCGGCGGAUGUCGGAGUAGCUUGUUGGUGAGGUAAAGGCCCACCAAGGAGACGAUCCGUAGCUGGUCUGAGAGGAUGAUCAGCCACACUGGGACUGAGACACGGCCCAGACUCCUACGGGAGGCAGCAGUGGGGAAUUUUGGACAAUGGGGGCAACCCUGACCCAGCCAUGCCGCGUGAGUGAAGAAGGCCUUCGGGUUGUAAAGCUCUUUCGGACGGAACGAAACGGUUACGGUGAAUAAUCGUGACUAAUGACGGUACCGUAAGAAGAAGCACCGGCUAACUACGUGCCAGCCGCCGCUGUAA
rnacentral:rRNA from 1 species